GACAGAGGCCACAAGCGUUAGGCGGAAUUACUGGGCGUAAAGCGUGCGCAGGCGGUUCUGCAAGUCAGAUGUGAAAUCCCCGGGCUUAACCUGGGAACUGCGUUUGAAACUACGGAGCUAGAGUGCGGCAGAGGGGGGUGGAAUUCCACGUGUAGCAGUGAAAUGCGUAGAUAUGUGGAGGAACACCGAUGGCGAAGGCAGCCCCCUGGGCCGACACUGACGCUCAGGCACGAAAGCGUGGGGAGCAAACAGG
rnacentral:rRNA from 1 species